UAGAGUCUGAUCCUGGCUCAGAUUGAACGCUGGCGGCAGGCCUAACACAUGCAAGUCGGACGGCAGCGGGAGGAAGCUUGCUUCCUUGCCGGCGAGUGGCGGACGGGUGAGUAAUAUCUGGGGAUCUGCCUGAUGGAGGGGGAUAACCACUGGAAACGGUGGCUAAUACCGCAUGAAGUCGCGAGACCAAAGCGGGGGACCUUCGGGCCCCGCGCUAUCAGAUGAACCCAGACGGGAUUAGCUGGAAGGUGGGGUAACGGCUCACCUUGGCGACGAUCCCUAGCUGGUCUGAGAGGAUGGUCAGCCACACUGGGACUGAGACACGGCCCAGACUCCUGCGGGAGGCAGCAGUGGGGAAUAUUGCACAAUGGGGGAAACCCUGAUGCAGCCAUGCCGCGUGUAUGAAGAAGGCCUUCGGGUUGUAAAGUACUUUCAGCAGGGAGGAAGGGGUGAGGAGUAACAUGCCUUGCCAUUGACGUUACCUGCAGAAGAAGCACCGGCUAACUCCGUGCCAGCAGCCGCGGUAAUACGGAGGGUGCGAGCGUUAAUCGGAAUUACUGGGCGUAAAGGGCACGCAGGCGGUUAAUUAAGCCGAAUGUGAAAUCCCCGGGCUCAACCCGGGAACUGCAUUCGGAACUGGUUGACUGGAGUUCUGUAGAGGGGGGUGGAAUUCCACGUGUAGCGGUGAAAUGCGUAGAGAUGUGGAGGAACACCAGUGGCGAAGGCGGCCCCCUGGACAGAGACUGACGCUCAAGUGCGAAAGCGUGGGGAGCAAACAGGAUUAGAUACCCUGGUAGUCCACGCUGUAAACGAUGUCGAUUUAAAGGCUGUGGUCAUGAACUGUGGCUUUUGGAGCAAACGCGUUAAAUCGACCGCCUGGGGAGUACGGCCGCAAGGUUAAAACUCAAAUGAAUUGACGGGGGCCCGCACAAGCGGUGGAGCAUGUGGUUUAAUUCGAUGCAACGCGAAGAACCUUACCUGGUCUUGACAUCCACAGAAGACUGCAGAGAUGCGGUUGUGCCUUCGGACUGUGAGACAGGUGCUGCAUGGCUGUCGUCAGCUCGUGUGUGAAAUGUUGGGUUAGUCCCGCACCGAGCGCACCCUUGUCUUGUUGCAGCGCGUGAGCGUACUCAGGGAGACUUGCCGUGAUUACGAGAAGGUGGACGACGUCAGGUCAUUCAUGGCCUUACGAACACAGGGCUUCAC
rnacentral:rRNA from 1 species